AUGGGCUGGGUGUGCAAGGGGCUCCCGUGCACAGAGGCUUCCUGUGCAUGGCCAGAAAGCCUCCAGUUUGCACAUGCACACCCCGUGCAAGGCCAGGAAGUCUCCAGUAGGCAUUCUCACACCCUGUGCAAGGCCAGCAAGCCUCCAGUUUGCGCACUAAAGUGUCCUGUGCAUGGCCAUAAAGUCUCCAGUUUGCAUGCACACGCCCUGUGCAUGGCCAACAUUCCUCUGCUUUGCAUUCUCACGCCCUAUGCAUGGUCUGAAAGCCUCUACUUUGCACGUGCACACCAUGUGCAAGGCCAGCAAACCUCUGGUUUGCAUGUGUACGCCCUGUGCAAGGUCAGCAAGCCUCCACUUUGCACACGCACACACUUGUGCAUGACCCCAAAGUCCCUAGUAUGCAUUCUAACUCCCUGUGCAAGGCCAGAAAGUGUCCACUUUGCACACGCACACCCUGUGCAAUGCCAGAAAGUCUCCAAUUUGCACAUGUAUGCCCUGUGCAAGGCCAGCAAGGCUUCACUUUGCAUAAUGCACACCCCAUACAAAGCCAGCAAACCUCCAGUUUGCCCACGCACACCCAGUCCAUGGCACACCCAGUCCAUGGCCGGCAAGCCUCCAAUUUGCACAUGCACACCCUGUGCAAUACCAGAAAGUCUCCAGUUUGCCCAUGCACACCCUGUGCAUAGCCAGCAAGCCUCCACUUUGCACAUGCACGCCCUGUGCAAGGCCAGCAAGUCUCCGGCAUGCAUUCUCAUGCCACGUGCAUGGCCAGAAAGUCUACAGUUUGCACACGCACACCUCGUGCAAACCCAGCAAGCCUCCACUUUGCACACGCACGCCCUGCGCGUGGCCAGCAAGCCCCCACUUUGCACUCUCACGCCCCGUGCAAGGCCAGCAAGCCUCCAGCACGCAUUCUCACGCCCCGUGCAUGCCCAGCAAGCCUCCGCUUUGCACACCCGCGCCCCGUGCAAGGCCAGGAAGCCCCCGAUUUGCACACGCACGGCGCGUGCACGCCCAGCAAGCCCCACUUUUGCACACUCACGCCCCGUGCACGGCCUGAGGGUGCCCGCUUUGCACACUCACGCCCCGUGCACGGCCGCAGGGCCGUGGUGCCAGCUUGCACACCCCCUCCCCUCCCGCCCCCCGCCCCACGACCGCGCGCCCCGCGUGGAACGGGGGAGGGGGGGAGGGGCGGGGAGAGCCCAGCGCGCGCCCCCGCCGCCGCGCGCGCGCGCGCGCCCCUCACCUGCCGCCGCGCGCCCGCCGCCGGCACCCAAACAUCACGUGACCGCCGCCGGCCCCGCCCUCCCCGCUCCCCUACCACGUGCCCGCUCCCCUCCCUCCCCGCCGCCCGGGUGA
rnacentral:lncRNA from 1 species